UACGGAGGGUGCAAGCGUUAUCCGGAUUCACUGGGUUUAAAGGGUGCGUAGGCGGACAGGUAAGUCAGUGGUGAAAUCUCUGGGCUUAACUCAGAAACUGCCGUUGAUACUAUUUGUCUUGAAUGUCAUGGAGGUAAGCGGAAUAUGUCAUGUAGCGGUGAAAUGCUUAGAUAUGACAUAGAACACCGAUAGCGAAGGCAGCUUACUACAUGAAGAUUGACGCUGAGGCACGAAAGCGUGGGGAGCAAACGGG
rnacentral:rRNA from 1 species